rnacentral:rRNA from 1 species
CCUACGGGCGGCAGCAGUGGGGAAUAUUGGACAAUGGGCGAAAGCCUGAUCCAGCCAUGCCGCGUGUGUGAAGAAGGCCUUCGGGUUGUAAAGCACUUUCAGUGGGGAAGAAAGCCUUGGGGCUAAUACCCUCGAGGAAGGACAUCACCCACAGAAGAAGCACCGGCUAACUCCGUGCCAGCAGCCGCGGUAAUACGGAGGGUGCGAGCGUUAAUCGGAAUUACUGGGCGUAAAGCGCGCGUAGGCGGUCUGAUAAGCCGGUUGUGAAAGCCCCGGGCUCAACCUGGGAACGGCAUCCGGAACUGUCAGGCUAGAGUGCAGGGGAGGAAAGUAGAAUUCCCGGUGUAGCAGUGAAAUGCGUAGAGAUCGGGAGGAAUACCAGUUGCGAAGGCGGCCUUCUGGACUGACACUGACGCUGAGGUGCGAAAGCGUGGGUAGCAAACAGGAUUAGAUACCCUUGUAGUC